rnacentral:rRNA from 1 species
CAUGCCUAACACAUGCAAGUCGAACGAAGGCUUCGGCCUUAGUGGCGCACGGGUGCGUAACGCGUGGGAAUCUGCCCUCAGGUUCGGAAUAACAGCGAGAAAUUGCUGCUAAUACCGGAUGAUAUCGCGAGAUCAAAGAUUUAUCGCCUGAGGAUGAGCCCGCGUAGGAUUAGCUAGUUGGUGUGGUAAAGGCGCACCAAGGCGACGAUCCUUAGCUGGUCUGAGAGGAUGAUCAGCCACACUGGGACUGAGACACGGCCCAGACUCCUACGGGAGGCAGCAGUGGGGAAUAUUGGACAAUGGGCGAAAGCCUGAUCCAGCAAUGCCGCGUGAGUGAUGAAGGCCUUAGGGUUGUAAAGCUCUUUUACCCGGGAUGAUAAUGACAGUACCGG